rnacentral:rRNA from 1 species
UACGGAGGAUGCGAGCGUUAUCCGGAUUUAUUGGGUUUAAAGGGAGCGCGGACGGGUGAUUAAGUCAGCUGUUAAAUUUCGGGGCCCAACCCCGUUAUGCGGUUGAUACUGGUUAUCUUGAGUGCGGCAUGGGCAGGCGGAAUUCACGGUGUAGCGGUGAAAUGCUUAGAUAUCGUGAAGAACUCCGAUCGCGAAGGCAGCUUGCCGGACCGUUACUGACGUUUAGGCUCGAAAGUGCGGGUAUCAAACA